GCCACUUGUGCCGAUCUUUUUACGGUGCGGCUUUACUUCGGCCAUUCUUAUGAGAAGGUUUGUCGCCCGGUUCCCUUUCUUUUUUUCACUAUCCGUGCGAUUGUACGCAUCAAGGCGACAAAUACGGCCGCUACAGCAAUCCGCUCAAGGCCUGCAGCACUCAAGCGUGCAUCACGGACAAAUAGCGACCAACAAGAGGCCGUCUUUAUUAGCAUGACGGAAGAAUGUGAACGACCCUGGCCCAGGAUUUAUGAACUCGGUGACGCCUGCGGUUUUCUGCCACGCCAUGCACUCCACGUUUCUGCAUAUCGACCUGCGAGACCUCCGGACCCUGCACACGUCCCAAAGGGAUGCGCCGUUCGACUUGCAAACCCAUCACUUCGUCAUCUGACUUCGGAAGGUUCUAGGCCGCAUCGCUGGAUCCUUCCAGACGUGGGUCGCCAAGUCCUUCGAUGCUUCUGUGCACCUCGAAACUACCCGUCCGGAGCGCAGCCGGCUAAACUGGCGAAACUUUCCAACAGUGUUCCUACGUCGAAAACUUCGAAAAACCUUGCGAGAAAGCAAUAACCAGUUGGUGUGCACAGUUUUCUUUCCCCCUUGGUGCUCUUCUGGUGAGGGGCGGUUGCGUUGCGCACCGCUCGUUACUUGUCAGCCAGCAACCCAAGCCUGGCUCAUCUGCUUCGGACGAUCAUCUGUUGUCGCGCAUGUGCCUUGAUGUGUGUUCCCGCCCCCUUGAUUCACGGUGUGCCUUUAUAAUUGACUGCGCACCACGCCGUGGGGCCAUUCUUUGUUCACCUUCUUUCAGCUAGCACGCCGCAUUAAAACCUACGUUCUUCCU